rnacentral:lncRNA from 1 species
UUAAAAUUUAAUGUUUUCAUUGCAUGUUAGAUUAUAUUUACUCAUUACGUGUGUCUGUGUCACAUAAGAUUAUGUGUUUAUUUUUGCGUGUAACUUAAAUCUAUUUUCUGUUGUAAGUAGAAGAUUGAACUAAAUUUGUUUUCAUUAUUUAUUUUGCCGUAAACACAAUGUUCGGUUAGUUCGGUUCCGAACCAAAAACCGA